ensembl:lncRNA
GCGAUUAACACUUAAGGAGGAGGCUGGGAUGGAGGAGAACAGAUGAGAGCUGAAGGGAGAAGGUUCAGGCUUUAGCUGCGACCUCUCCACCUGUGUGAAUACGAUGAAGUUACGCUGAUGAUGGAGCACCAACACUUGCAAAGAAAUGUAUUUUUCAGGGGGUUCGAAUUGAUUGACGGACAUAGCGCCAGUAUACUCCUGAACACUCCCGGACAGGUACGCGCUGUGCAGCACGCAAAACACUGAUAUUGAGAGAUUCAACACUGUGAACCCUCCUGAGCUGGGAUUCCCCUUGCUGCGCGUGGGGCUUAGCAUGGUCGGGUUUUUUUUGGAUCGGAUUUGGAAAUCUUGAGAAGAGCCAAGGAUCAAUUUCCAGUACUGGAUGGCAAGCAUCAUACCAAAGAGUCGAACAAACUGGUAGCUUGUAACCCAACUGGUUACAAACACACACCUGUGAACACUGAACUUUGAACCAUUGACACUGAAAGAUUGAAAGACUGAAACAAACAAAAAAAAAACAAACACUAAAGACAAAAAGGACUUUUUAUUUCAUUUUGUUUAUCUUUCAUUCUCUUUUUGAAAGCUCUUUUUUUUUUUUUUAAUACUGUGCACAGACCCCUUCACAAUUUAAACUUUGCAAUUAAAUGCAAAUUGUCUUUUAAUACGGUGUCAUCUCCCUUGUUUUCGCACACCCUGGCCUCCUGCGAAUUUAAAGUCUUCUGAUCUGGCCUAUCCUCUUUUCUACUGUAGUACUUUGGUUAAAGGUAACUGUACAAAGACAGUACAGAAGC